AUUGAACGCUGGCGGCAGGCCUAACACAUGCAAGUCGAGCGGCUGCAGGGAGCUUGCUCCUGGAUUCAGCGGUGGACUGGUGAGUAAUGCCUAGGAAUCUGCCUGGUAGUGGGUGAUAACGUCCGGAAACGGGCGCUAAUACCGCAUACGUCCUGAGGGAGAAAGUGGGGGAUCUUCGGACCUCACGCUAUCAGAUGAGCCUAGGUCGGAUUAGCUAGUUGGUGGGGUAAAGGCCUACCAAGGCGACGAUCCGUAACUGGUCUGAGAGGAUGAUCAGUCACACUGGAACUGAGACACGGUCCAGACUCCUACGGGAGGCAGCAGUGGGGAAUAUUGGACAAUGGGCGAAAGCCUGAUCCAGCCAUGCCGCGUGUGUGAAGAAGGCCUUCGGAUUGUAAAGCACUUUAAGUGGGGAGGAAGGGCAGUAAGUUAAUACCUUGCUGUUUUGACGUUACCAACAGAAUAAGCACCGGCUAACUUCGUG
rnacentral:rRNA from 1 species